GACGAACGCUGGCGGCGUGCUUAACACAUGCAAGUCGAACGGAAAGGCCCUGCUUUUGUGGGGUGCUCGAGUGGCGAACGGGUGAGUAACACGUGAGUAACCUGCCCUUGACUUUGGGAUAACUUCAGGAAACUGGGGCUAAUACCGGAUAGGAGCUCCUGCUGCAUGGUGGGGGUUGGAAAGUUUCGGCGGUUGGGGAUGGACUCGCGGCUUAUCAGCUUGUUGGUGGGGUAGUGGCUUACCAAGGCUUUGACGGGUAGCCGGCCUGAGAGGGUGACCGGCCACAUUGGGACUGAGAUACGGCCCAGACGCCUACGGGAGGCAGCAGUGGAGAAUAUUGCACAGUGGGCGGAAGCCUGAUGCAGCAACGCCGCGUGCGGGAUGACGGCCUUCGGGUUGUAAACCGCUUUCGCCUGUGACGAAGCGUGAGUGACGGUAAUGGGUAAAGAAGCACCGGCUAACUACGUG
rnacentral:rRNA from 1 species